GAUGAACGCUGGCGGCGUGCCUAACACAUGCAAGUCGAGCGGCAGCGAGGGGUGCUUGCACCCUGUCGGCGAGCGGCGGACGGCUGAGUAACGCGUGGGAACGUGCCCCAAAGUGAGGAAUAACUGCCCGAAAGGGUAGCUAAUACCGCAUAUUAUCUUCGGAUCAAAGGAUUUAUCCGCUUUGGGAGCGGCUCGCGUCGGAUUAGGUAGUUGGUGAGGUAAUGGCUCACCAAGCCGACGAUCCGUAGCUGAUCUGAGAGGAUGACCAGCCAGACUGGAACUGAGACACGGUCCAGACUCCUACGGGAGGCAGCAGUGAGGAAUCUUCCACAAUGGGCGAAAGCCUGAUGGAGCAACGCCGCGUGCAGGACGAAGGCCUUCGGGUUGUAAACUGCUUUUAUAAGUGAGGAAUAUGACGGUAACUUAUGAAUAAGGAUCGGCUAACUACGUG
rnacentral:rRNA from 1 species